GAUCGGGUCGUUCACCUGUAGAUCCAACAUGGUUGGACGGAGGAGGAGGAGGAGGUCGUUAGCUGUUCACCGAGAGGAGAGCAGAGCCGUCGGCUAGCUAAUGAAACGUACCCCUGAAAUGAUAAACCUCCAUUAAACCUCCUCCAUGUUUUUCCCCCGCGUGUCCGCGGGAGUGUCGCGCUCACCUGGACCCGUCUAUCACCUGGCGCCGUUCACUAGCUAGCUUGUUGAGCUAACUCGCUCUCGACAGUGUUUCUGAGAAGCCACAGGGUCAGGGCGAGUUGAAGCUCAUGUCAGAAUUGCCCCCGCGUUGACCUGCGCCUGACUGGCCUCCCAGCAAAAAGCCCCUGUGAAGCAGAAGGAAGAGAGGGCUCCGCUGAUCCGAAGGUGAAAAACACCCUCCUCCUCCUCCUCCUCCUCCUCUCCCCCGGCUGAACAUCUGUCUCCGUGGCGUUGGCUGCAGCACACACUCUGACACCUCCAGAUGGAGAGCCCGCUGGGAGCGCUGAGGUAUUGCCUACAGAGAUGGCAGGGAUCACACCUCUGGAAUGAAGUCCCACACUUGUUUUCUGCACCGUCCCCCUUUUUGUUGUUGAAUCUGUCACUAUUCACCAUAUCGAUUGUCGCCACAGUCCUUGGCCUUGUGACUCAUCUGAAGAGGAGGAUUCUGCCUUGUAAAGAAAAGUACGACAACAAAUCCCUUAGCCCUUUUUCUAAUUUACAGUAAUGGGCCGUAUGGUGUUUCAACUGUAACUUCUAUUCGAUGAACUGUAUUAAUUUUUAAUAUAGUUGUGAGAGAACUGCACACUCAUGCAGAUAUAUUUCAAAUGGUUGCUGAUUUCCAUUUCAAAGAAACAUGUUUUUCAGAGGUGGAAAACAGUUGUAACUUUGCACAGUUCGCUAAAUGGCCUAUAACCUUAUUACUCUAAAUAUUAAAAGCAAUACCUGCAAACUUAUGAAGUGAGAGAGGCCUGGAGUUCCUCCUCUACGAGCCACUCUGGUGUCUUGACGGAUUGACUCUGCAUUCAUUUGUGCCUGAACUCUGCGUGAACCUCAGCUUUAGGAAAAAGGACACCAACAGGCCGGUGCUGCUGGGGCACAAACUUGUGUGUGCAAACUUAACACCCAGUGCAAAUAUUGAAACUGCUGCUCUUUUAGCAUCGGCUGAACCUUGGUGGCCAGCUCCGGCAAACGUUUGGCUAAAGGCGAAACCUGAAUGAGCACUGAGACGUUGGCUUAUCACCUUAUCUCCUUUGUUUUCAACAGGAAAGAACGUUAUCAAAAACAAAGUAUUUCUCUUAAAUCAUGUCAAAUACAUGAGGAGUUCUGUGGCGACCUGUGUCAGCUGUAUCUAAGCAGAAUUUGGGUAACAAAUCAAGGGUGAGACCUGGCUCCCUGGAGUUUGUUGUCAUGUUUAGAGCCCCUGGAGGUAUUAGGAGGUGAAGAGGUCACUGGGAACCACCCCAUGUGUUGUGAAAGAUUCCUCUUGUCACAUUAUGCAAGAG